GUUUAAAAAGAACACUAGAUUGUGAAUCUAGUAAUAAGAGAUCAANCCUCUUUAUUUACC
rnacentral:tRNA from 1 species